rnacentral:rRNA from 1 species
AUUGAACGCUGGCGGCAGGCCUAACACAUGUAAGUCGAACGAGUGGCGGACGGGUGAGUAAUGUCUGGGAAACUGCCCGAUGGAGGGGGAUAACUACUGGAAACGGUAGCUAAUACCGCAUACCAUCGGAUGUGCCCAGAUGGGAUUAGCUUGUAGGUGAGGUAACGGCUCAACUAGGCGACGAUCCCUAGCUGGUCUGAGAGGAUGACCAGCCACAGUGGAACUGAGACACGGUCAAGACUCCUACGGGAGGGAGCAGUGGGGGAUAUUGCAAAAGGGGCGCAAGCCUGAUGCAGCCAGGCAGCGUGUAUGAAGAAGGCCUUCGGGUUGUAAAGUACUUUCAGCGGGGAGGCGUUACACGCAGAAGAAGCACCGGCUGACUCCGUACCAUCAGCCGCGGUAAUAC